GCUGCUGAUUAAAGGCCCGCAUGUCGCAUCUGACUGUUCAAUAACAAACCUGAAUGCAUUUUAAAUUUGUAUGUCAUAGACCAAGUAGCAGAGAAAGAGAACAUUAUUAACAUUUCACCUAAAUUAAAAGUUGGAUUACAUGUUGUUAACAGCUAUUUGAGGAAUGCUGACAAAGAAGUCAUAUCCCUCAAAUGUAAACUGUUAAUUUCAGCCUGAAAAUAUGCAACAAAAUGGGCCUAAAUGAAGAACAGCUCCACAGUGAUCAGGUCUUGUAAUCAACAAUCCUUUAGGGGUGAAGACCCCCAUGCCGUGGAUGAUCCAUGAGAUCCAAUAACCUACCUGUUGGUCCAGGACACCACCCUUUGAGAAUACCAGCUCUACACAGCCUGAGACUGGUUUUUAUUGCAGACCUGCAACUAUUGAUGGUUUCAGGUUUUUAACUGGGAUUUUUUCCUUUUUAGUGUAAAAUAGAUACUUUUUUAAACAACCUACCUUAGUAAAAAAAAAAA